rnacentral:rRNA from 1 species
UACGUAGGGUGCAAGCGUUGUCCGGAAUUAUUGGGCGUAAAGAGCUCGUAGGCGGUUUGUCGCGUCUGCUGUGAAAACUCAGGGCUUAACCCUGAGCUUGCAGUGGGUACGGGCAGACUAGAGUGCGGUAGGGGAGACUGGAAUUCCAGGUGUAGCGGUGAAAUGCGUAGAUAUCUGGAGGAAUACCGGUGGCGAAGGCGGCAUCCUGGACCGGCAUUGACGCUGAGGAGCGAAAGCCAGGGGAGCAAACGGG